AGGAUGAACGCUGGCGACGUGCUUAACACAUGCAAGUCGAACGAUGAACCUCACUUGUGGGGGGAUUAGUGGCGAACGGGUGAGUAACACGUGAGUAACCUGCCCUUAACUCUGGGAUAAGCCUGGGAAACUGGGUCUAAUACCGGAUAUGACUCCUCAUCGCAUGGUGGGGGGUGAAAGCUUUAUUGUGGUUUUGGAUGGACUCGCGGCCUAUCAGCUUGUUGGUGAGGUAAUGGCUCACCAAGGCGACGACGGGUAGCCGGCCUGAGAGGGUGACCGGCCACACUGGGACUGAGACACGGCCCAGACU
rnacentral:rRNA from 1 species